rnacentral:rRNA from 1 species
AUUGAACGCUGGCGGCAUGCCUUACACAUGCAAGUCGAACGGCAGCACGGGUGCUUGCACCUGGUGGCGAGUGGCGAACGGGUGAGUAAUACAUCGGAACAUGUCCUGUAGUGGGGGAUAGCCCGGCGAAAGCCGGAUUAAUACCGCAUACGAUCUACGGAUGAAAGCGGGGGACCUUCGGGCCUCGCGCUAUAGGGUUGGCCGAUGGCUGAUUAGCUAGUUGGUGGGGUAAAGGCCUACCAAGGCGACGAUCAGUAGCUGGUCUGAGAGGACGACCAGCCACACUGGGACUGAGACACGGCCCAGACUCCUACGGGAGGCAGCAGUGGGGAAUUUUGGACAAUGGGCGAAAGCCUGAUCCAGCAAUGCCGCGUGUGUGAAGAAGGCCUUCGGGUUGUAAAGCACUUUUGUCCGGAAGGAAAUCCUUGGCCCUAAUACGGUCGGGGGAUGACGGUACCGGAAGAAUAAGCACCGGCUAACUACGUG